ACCAGGCACAGCACCCAGGGAGCCCCAUGGAGGGUGGGCAGGGCUGUGGGAUCUCUCCUCUCUCAGCACCCUGCACAGCACCCAGGGAGCCCAUGGAGGGUGGGCAGGGCUGUGGGGUCUCUCCUCUCUCAGCACCAGGCACAGCACCCAGGGAGCCCAUGGAGGGUGGGCAGGGCUGUGGGGUCUCUCCUCUCUGUGUCUAUAAUUUAAGGGGGAGAGUCCACUAGGAACAGUGUGCCUGAGGCCCUGGAAGAAAGAGAAACAGGUCCAGGAGGCAGCUCACCUUUGUCAUACAUGCAUGAGGCCCUGGGUUUGACCUCGCUACGGCUCUUUAAAAAGUAAUGGAGGUGUCCAGCCCACCAGUGUGGUCUGGAGCCUGUGGGAGACCGAGUGUGUGGUGGUCCCUGUGCAGUCAGCUGCGAUGUGGCCGUUUGACAUGAUGUCUCUCCCUCUGGCAGGUGCACCGGUUGGUGGUGGUGGAUGAGGACGACAGCAUCGUGGGUAUAAUCUCCCUGUCGGACAUCCUGCAGGCUCUGAUCCUCAGCCCCGCAGGUGCCAGACAGAAGGAGCCAGAAGCCGAAUGACACUGGAGUCCUCAUGGCGCGCACGGACUUGAGCUGAGACUCCGGGUCACGCUUUGCCUGGCACACCGGCGCUUCGGGACUGAGCGUGCAUCUCCUGGGGUCCCCCCGGCCCAGGGGGCUGCUUUCCAGGGGUGCCGAGGCCAGCCAGAGCGGACAGGGGGUUAGGCCCUGCCUCCAGAGCCCUCAUUAAAGAUGCCCUCCAGGCCCUGCUGAUGCUCCCAUGUCAGCGGGCAGGUGGCGGCCCGGCCGAGGGUGUGGCAGGCUCAGACUAGUGCCUUCCCUCAGAUGCACCCACGUGGCACCAUGCCACCCUGGGACCGGCGUGUCCCCAUGUUGACACUGGGCCACCGGCAGCAGCGACUUUCAGACUCCCGGGAGCGUCCCCUCCCCACCUGUGUUCUGUCCUGAGUACCAGAGAGAGGCGGCCACGCUGCCCCCCACACCCAUCCCCCAUCCCCACCGACAGCUUUAUUUAUUUUUUUACACCUUGCGUGCAUGGGUUCGAGACUCCGGCCGUGGGGAAAAAAAUCACCACCACCAGUUCUCUCUCUCUCUCUCUCUCUCUUUUCUUUUGAAGCGGCUGAUUUCUCCAUUUGUCUUGAGUUCUCCGGCCUGGGAAGGAGGAGAGGAGAGUAUCAGCCCUGUCUGGUUAAACUGGUGGGGGCACCCGCCCGAGGGGGAAGGCACAAGGCUGGGGGACCCUGGUGCCCGGAGAGACCUUGGUGUGUGGAGAUGUGAAGCGGCCUCUGCGAGUGUGACCAUCACCGGGACAGUGUCCCCCGGGGCUGCACUCAGCAAUCCGUCCCCCAGGGCAGCCCCGACCUGCCGAGUGUACAGAAAAAUAGGGAGCAGAGCCUACAUGGGUUUUGUGCUUUGUCUGGGGGUUAUUAGCAGGUCUUUGUUGUUGCUGUUGUUAUUGUUUUCCAGAUUGAAAAUUUAAAAUAAACCUUCCUAUCUGCC